UUCUUUUAUCGCUGAUAAUGA
rnacentral:piRNA from 1 species